AACGAACGCUGGCGGCAUGCUUAACACAUGCAAGUCGAACGGAACGUCCCUGCUUUUGUGCGGUCCUCGAGUUGCGACCGGGGGAGUAACCCGUGAGUUACCUGCCACUGCCUGUAGGAUAACUUCAUACAGGUUAAGCUCAUACCGGCUAAGAUCUACUGCUGCAUGGUGGGCGUUGGAUAGUUUCGGCGGUUGGGGGUGUACUCGCGGCUUAUCAGGUUGUUGGGGGGGUAGUGGCAUACCAAGGCAUUGACGGGUAGCCGGCCUGAGAGGGUGAGAGGGCACAUCGGGACUGAGAUACGGCCCAGACUCCUACGGGAGGCAGCAGGGGGGAAUAGUGAACAAUGGGCGGAAGCCUGAUGCAGCAACGCCGCGGGCGGGAUGAAGGCCUUCGGGUUGUAAACCGCUUUCGCCUGUGACGAAGCGUGAGUGACGGUAAUGGGUAAAGAAGCACCGGCUAACUACGUG
rnacentral:rRNA from 1 species